rnacentral:rRNA from 1 species
UACAGAGGUCCCGAGCGUUGUUCGGAUUCAUUGGGCGUAAAGGGUGCGUAGGCGGCGGGGCAAGUCUGAUGUGAAAUCCCGGGGCUCAACCCCGGAACUGCAUUGGAUACUGCCUUGCUCGAGUACUGGAGAGGGAACUGGAAUUUACGGUGUAGCAGUGAAAUGCGUAGAGAUCGUAAGGAAGGCCAGUGGCGAAGGCGGGUUGCUGGGCUGACACUGACGCUGACGCGCGAAAGCCAGGGGAGCGAACGGG